AUUGAACGCUGGCGGCAUGCUUUACACAUGCAAGUCGAACGGUAACAGGCCGCAAGGUGCUGACGAGUGGCGAACGGGUGAGUAAUGCAUCGGAACGUGCCCAGUCGUGGGGGAUAACUACUCGAAAGAGUAGCUAAUACCGCAUACGAUCUAUGGAUGAAAGCGGGGGACCGUAAGGCCUCGCGCGAUUGGAGCGGCCGAUGUCAGAUUAGGUAGUUGGUGGGGUAAAGGCUCACCAAGCCAACGAUCUGUAGCUGGUCUGAGAGGACAACCAGCCACACUGGGACUGAGACACGGCCCAGACUCCUACGGGAGGCAGCAGUGGGGAAUUUUGGACAAAGGGCGCAAGCCUGAUCCAGCAAUGCCGCGUGCAGGAAGAAGGCCUUCGGGUUGUAAACUGCUUUUGUGCGGAACGAAACGGCUCUGGUUAAUACCCGGGGCUAAUGACGGUACCGUAAGAAUAAGCACCGGCUAACUACGUG
rnacentral:rRNA from 1 species